rnacentral:rRNA from 1 species
UACAGAGACUGCAAGCGUUAUUCGGAUUCACUGGGCGUAAAGGGUGCGUAGGCGGUCGGGUAAGUCUGACGUGAAAUCUCCGGGCCUAACCCGGAAACUGCGUUGGAAACUGCCCGGCUAGAGGAAUGGAGGGGAGACUGGAAUACUUGGUGUAGCAGUGAAAUGCGUAGAUAUCAAGUGGAACACCAGUGGCGAAGGCGAGUCUCUGGACAUUUCCUGACGCUGAGGCACGAAAGCCAGGGGAGCAAACGGG